GCUCCCCCACAAGGGUUAGGCCACCGGCUUCGGGUGUUACCAACUUUCGUGACUUGACGGGCGGUGUGUACAAGGCCCGGGAACGUAUUCACCGCAGCGUUGCUGAUCUGCGAUUACUAGCGACUCCGACUUCAUGGGGUCGAGUUGCAGACCCCAAUCCGAACUGAGACCGGCUUUUUGGGAUUAGCUCCACCUCACAGUAUCGCAACCCAUUGUACCGGCCAUUGUAGCAUGCGUGAAGCCCAAGACAUAAGGGGCAUGAUGAUUUGACGUCGUCCUCACCUUCCUCCGAGUUGACCCCGGCAGUCUCCCAUGAGUCCCCACCAUUACGUGCUGGCAACAUGGAACGAGGGUUGCGCUCGUUGCGGGACUUAACCCAACAUCUCACGACACGAGCUGACGACAACCAUGCACCACCUGUGAACCCGCCCCAAAGGGGAAACCGUAUCUCUACGGCGAUCGAGAACAUGUCAAGCCUUGGUAAGGUUCUUCGCGUUGCAUCGAAUUAAUCCGCAUGCUCCGCCGCUUGUGCGGGCCCCCGUCAAUUCCUUUGAGUUUUAGCCUUGCGGCCGUACUCCCCAGGCGGGGCACUUAAUGCGUUAGCUGCGGCGCGGAAACCGUGGAAUGGUCCCCACACCUAGUGCCCAACGUUUACGGCAUGGACUACCAGGGUAUCUAAUCCUGUUCGCUCCCCAUGCUUUCGCUCCUCAGCGUCAGUUACAGCCCAGAGACCUGCCUUCGCCAUCGGUGUUCCUCCUGAUAUCUGCGCAUUCCACCGCUACACCAGGAAUUCCAGUCUCCCCUACUGCACUCUAGUCUGCCCGUACCCACCGCAGAUCCGGGGUUAAGCCCCGGACUUUCACGACAGACGCGACAAACCGCCUACGAGCUCUUUACGCCCAAUAAUUCCGGAUAACGCUCGCACCCUACGUAUUACCGCGGCUGCUGGCACGUAGUUAGCCGGUGCUUCUUCUGCAGGUACCGUCACUUUCGCUUCUUCCCUACUGAAAAAGGUUUACAACCCGAAAGGCCGGCAUCCCUCACGCGGGGUCCCUGCAUCAGGCUUUCGCCCAUUGGGCAAUAUUCCC
rnacentral:rRNA from 1 species